ensembl:lncRNA
CAGGACAGAGGAAAGAAUGAGGUCCAGUAGGAAAAAAAGCAUUCUUGACAUGAAAACUCCCCCCUACUUGCUUGAAAAUGGUCCAUAGCAGUAGAAGCUUUGCAGACAAGACUUGUUUAGAACUUACCGAAGUUUCCCAAAGCAAAACCACAGACCAGUUCCUAAUUCAGAGGCCAGAUCCGCGCGCAACCUCCCUCCUUCAGCUUCUGAUUAUGCUAGUAGCACUUUAUUAAUCAUGUAUGAAUUUCUGCUCGUGUACCCUGAAGCGAUCACACACGAUCCAAUCCCCUAUCAAAAAAGGAAGCCUUACCUGAUGGCAGAAACAGCGGCUGCAGGAGCAGCAGUAGAAAGAGCAGCAGCAGCAGCAAGAUGCAACAAGCCAGGCUUUGCAAGGAAGCGUUCCCUGCGUAAGGCUUGUAAAGAAUCAAAGCUCUCCGAACACUCGUUAAAAGAGCUUAGUAGAGGAAGAAGAUUGGGCGCGGAGAAAGUGAGGGCACCAGAGUUAGCGCUGGAGCGUUGGCGUUUAAAUGCUUAAGGACUGUUCAAAAUCAAAGAACUAUCGGCAAAAAGUUCUGGGAGGCAAAAAGCUUGGAUUCUAGUCCUCACUCCCGUAAAUAGCUUCCUUUAUUUUUGUGGAACCAGAAAAUAAAGUCCACUUUCACCUGAAUGUUAUCA